UAGCAUAUGUUAAUCUAUUAACGAAAGUUUGGAACGAGCUACAAUGGCCUGUCUUUAGCUUCAUGCACCUUACUUUUCUCCUUUUUUCUACUUCCUCCCUCUUCCCCUAUCUUCCUUUUUUCACUUCUUCUUGCUAUUUUUUUUUACCUAUUUUCGGAGGUCGAAGCUGCUUUCAUUUUGUAUGCCUAAUUCAUUUUACUUAAUGAAUGAAGCAGGUAGCUCGCUACCUAUUUUUCAAAGAGCAAUGCUUCAAUACACCAUAGGUAUUAAAAUUAAACUCUUAAUUAGUAAAGGGUAUAGUUGGAUUUUACAUAAAAUAACCUAUUGAAUAGGUUGUCAAUUUGAAUUAGUUAAUAUGACAAUAUUGGAAAAAAAUUAGUAGCAUAUACUAAAAUUGUCAGCAUCUUUUAAUUAGUUUUGUUACUUACCAAAUUAGAUAAUACCCAAUUUGUUAAGUAUCAAACUCAAAAAAAUAUUGAAUUUAAAUUUAAGUUUUGAAGUUGGUAUUGUAAUGUAAAGUUUUAAUUUCAAAAUUUAUAUUAAACUUUUAAAUUUUGAA
rnacentral:lncRNA from 1 species